CGCACAUUGCGCCCAUUAGUAUUCUAGUGGGCAUGCCUGUUCGAGCGUCAUUUCAAACCCUUAAGCCCUGCUGCUUAGCGUUGGGGACCGCUGUAGAAGCGCCCCCCAAAGAAAUUGGCGGAGUUGUUCGGGGCUCUCAGCGUAGUAAUUCUUCUCGCUUUAGGGCACCGACAGCGCCUGCCACAAGCCUAUUUUCUCAAGGUUUGACCUCGGAUCAGGUAGGAAUACCCGCUGAACUUAA
rnacentral:misc_RNA from 1 species